rnacentral:rRNA from 1 species
UACGGAGGGGGCUAGCGUUGUUCGGAAUUACUGGGCGUAAAGCGCACGUAGGCGGACUGUUAAGUCGGGGGUGAAAUCCCGGGGCUCAACCCCGGAAUGGCCUUUGAUACUGGCGGGCUUGAGGUCUGUAGAGGUGAGUGGAAUUCCGAGUGUAGAGGUGAAAUUCGUAGAUAUUCGGAGGAACACCAGUGGCGAAGGCGGCUCACUGGCCAGAUACUGACGCUGAGGUGCGAAAGCGUGGGGAGCAAACAGG